CAAACAUCUCGCUUUGGUCAGCUUUGGACCCCCACACACCUGCCCUGAGCUGGGGGUCUCAGUCCCAGUCCUUGGAAGGAGCAGAGGGGCCUUUUCAGUCCUUGAUGGAGAGGCUCCUUACAUCUCUGUCUGUCUGUCACGGUGGUUGUAAAGCAGGUGAGGGUCUUCUGUAGGAGACCACCCAAAACUCAGGAGAAGUCCAGCCAGGCCGAAAGGUGGGACAGCUCCCACGGCUGUUGUUGAAAAAAGGGCACGGUGCCCCCUUAGCAUACAGCAAACACACCUGUGAAAACAAUAACUUAGCAAUGCUCUCAGAUCUCAGGGCCUUGGCGUGUGACUUUCUCCUUCAGAGCCAGAGAUUCUAGACAGGGCAGGUUUUCUCUUCAGUGGUCCCCUAAAGAGGCAGAUGAGGGAAAAUUCAUGCAGANGCCGAGCGCUUCUGCUACGAGAAGCUGAACGUGGAGGGGACAGAGCGGGGGAACUGCGGCCGCGAGGGGCUGGGCUGGCUGCAGUGCAACAAGCAGGACGUCCUCUGCGGUUUCCUCCUGUGCGCCAACAUCUCGGGCUCGCCGCGGCUGGGGGAGCUCAGCGGGGAGAUCGCCACCACCACCUUCUACCACCAGAACCGCUACGUGGACUGCAGGUACCGGCANCAGUGUCCCCAGUACCAGCCCAGUGCCCAUCCCCAGUUCAGGGCCUGGAGUUGUGCCCCCCCUGCCCAGUGGCCAGACGGGGUCCCUUGGGGUCCUGCACCCCAAAUGUGCCUCCCCGCCCCCCAGAGCAGCUCAGCACCCCCAUGUUGGGUUUGUCCCCUUAAAUUGUCCCCCCAUCCCCAAGCUGUGGGACCCCGAAGUCCCCAAUGGUGGGACAGAGGUGUCCCCAAGGCUUCCCCCCUUCACCAGCUCAGGCAGGUGACCCCCAAACUGGUGGCACUGGGGUUGGGGGGGACAGAAGGGUACAGGGGACACAGGGCAGCUUGCUGGGUGGCACUUGUCACCCCAGCCCCAAGGCAGGCUGGUGGCACCCCAGGCUGGCUGUCCCCCACAUCACCCUGUGGCACGUGGCACUUGUCACCUGCACGGGAUGGCUCUGCAGGGCCACCCAAAGCACAGCACACAGAGCACUGGGGGCCACACGGGUCCCUGUAACCACUGGUGACACUCAGCAUGGAGGGGACAUCAUCUCUGGUGACACUUGGUGACACAACCCAGUGUGUGUAGGGACACUCCUGGGGACACCCAGCACGGGACAAUGGGGGAUGGUACCCACUGUCCACAGCAGUGUGGGGUGUCCCCUCUGUGUCCCCUCCUCGCCCACCACCAGGUCCCUUUGCCAUGGAGACAGAGAGUGACCAAACGUGUCCCCAAGCCCAGCCAUGGCCAUGGGGUGGCACCCAGCCUGGUGUGACACCCACGGGUGCUGUGGCUGUGGUGGCACCCCAGGGGACAGCGUGGGAGGUGACAGCAGGACGGGGGUGGUUGGGGUCCAGUGGUGGCUUCUGGUGUGACAUAUCAGCUCUUGGACACCUGGGGACCUGGGAUCACCGUGGGCAUCAGGGCUCUGGGAUCAGCCCCAUUUGUCACUGUCACCAGAGUGUCCCCACAGCUGCCACAGCCACAGUGCCGGGCUGCUCCCCACAGCGAGGGGACACCCCCGGCUCAGAGCAAGAAGCCACCGCUGUCAUUGGGUUUGGGGACAUCCAUAUAUAUAUAUUUAUAUAUAUAUAUAUAAAAAUAUAAAUACCGGGAUUUUUCUUAAUGAUUUUAACGCUGUCAGGGCGGCGGGGGGAGGGCAGGNUGAGUGGGGUUUGUGCCCCG
rnacentral:lncRNA from 1 species